CCCUUAGAUGUUCUGGGCCGCACGCGCGCUACACUGAUGCAUUCAACGAGUUUCUUCCUGGUCUGAGAGGAAUGGGUAACCUUUUGAAAGUGCAUCGUGAUAGGGAUAGACUAUUGCAAUUAUUGGUCUUCAACGAGGAAUUCCUAGUAGGCGCAAGUCAUCAGCUUGCGUCGAUUACGUCCCUGCCCUUUGUACACACCGCCCGUCGCUCCUACCGAUUGGGUGUGCUGGUGAAAUGUUCGGAUCGGCCGUUUGUCGCGGUUUCCGCGUCAUGUGGCUGAGAAGUUCAUUAAACCCUCCCACCUAGAGGAAGGAGAAGUCGUAACA
rnacentral:rRNA from 1 species